ensembl:lncRNA
AGGGUGGGGACAGGAGGGAAAGAGAUCAGGGACCUGGCGGAGGCUGAGCUCUCUGACCCCGGUGGGUGCAUCCUGGUUCUUGCUGUCCCCAACCCUCUCCUCUCCUGGGUUUCCACCCCGAGCUGGGACUCUGCCCCAGCAGCAUGUCUCCUGGAUCCUGGACCAGUGUCCACGUCUUCCCAUGGAGGACACGUUGGCUGCAGAGCAGGCCGAGAAGGCCCAGAUGCAUGUGCAGAGGAAUUCCUUAGGCAAACGACGUUCCCGGAGCGUUCCCGGAGCCGUCUUCACCUGCAAAGUGAACAAUAAGCGCUUUGAGACUAACCGCCUCGGCUCACAGGAAGACACUCCCCAUGCACAGGCGUGCACAGGUGCUGGCCCUGCAGCUGGGUGGCCCUGUGUGUCUCCCCUCCCCCACGCUGGUCUCAGUGGCUUCGCUCUAGGCCCAUCUCCCCCCACCCCAGUGGGGCUCUCCACCCUCAUGGACCCCUGUCCCUGGCCCCUGAGGGCUGAGGCACCUGGGGCCCUGCCUGACCUCUGUCUUCCGCCCCCUAGGCUUGAGCAGCACUGCUUCCUGCCACUCUGUCCCCAGAACACCUCCCUGAAGUCCCUGUCCUCUCUUUCCCCUUAUCCUGGCCUGGUCUCUGUUGGUGCCCUCCCAACCCUGGCGUAGUCUUGGAGGUUUCCAGACCUCAGUGGGAGCCAUGGGGUGGUGGGUGGUGGUGUGGGAGGGACAGUGAUCAGAGGGAAGGGUGACUGUGAGGGUCUCGUGCUGUCAUGACGUCUCAGCCUACAGUGACCCAGCUCUGCCCCCUCUCGGCCCCCAGCCCAGCUGUGGUCGCACAGGAGGGGCGUUGCCGGGGGGGCCUCAGUUCCCUGCUGUCUGGAUGGCGCCUCUCUCACUGGCCACGGUGAGAUUGGAGCAGGCACAUGCAGGACUCAGAGGGGGGCCUGGUGUGUGGCGCGAGCCUGGACGCGGCUCUGGCUGGGCGGUGGCUCUUUUCACUGUAUAACCUCACAGAUGAGGCUCAAGUGUCUGUGGCCACGUCCCCAGCACCUCCCCAGCCCCCGAAUGGGCCACUCAAAGCGACUUGUGCACAGACCUGGCUGGGCAGGCCGAGGGAGGGACAGGUGGAGGCCGCGUGGACACAGGAGCCCCCGCACACAGGUGAGCAGCAGGACUGACCAUGGGUGGAGGGACAGUGAAUCGACUCCAGAGACCUGCAGUGAGAAGAGAAGCCACAGGUUCCAGGGGUGGGAGAGAAAGACCCUUGCUGGGCAGACCCGGCCGACACAGACUGGGGCUCGCAGGGGACCCUGAGGGGCCGCACCGGGAGCAGGCCAGCUGCGGCGCCUGGCAAAUGGCCUCAGGUGCUGGGAGGAGAGGGAGGCAGAGAUGGAGACCCCCAGAGGGCAGGGGCGUCCUGGAAAGAGGCGGAGACGGGGCGAGGAUCGGGGUGGAGCUAUGGGGUGAGUCAGGGUGCUCAGAGAGACUCGGGGACACAGAAGGAGACAGUCAGGGCGUGGUGUAGGUGACAUAGCUGGGGAGAGGCCAGAGGAGGGGUGUGCCCUGUGCUCUGAGAGGGGAGCCUGGGCCAACGUCAGGACAAGAUGCAGCAGCCGCGAGGGACUCUGGGCUUGAUGUCAGGGGCACGGGAGCUGGCCAGGGCCGU